rnacentral:rRNA from 1 species
GACGUAGGGCGCGAGCGUUGUCCGGAUUUACUGGGCGUAAAGGGCGCGUAGGCGGUCAGCACAAGUCAGUUGUGAAAUCUCCGGGCUUAACUCGGAAAGGUCAACUGAUACUGUGCGACUAGAGUGCAGAAGGGGCAACUGGAAUUCUCGGUGUAGCGGUGAAAUGCGUAGAUAUCGAGAGGAACACCUGCGGCGAAGGCGGGUUGCUGGGCUGACACUGACGCUGAUGCGCGAAAGCCAGGGGAGCGAACGGG